rnacentral:rRNA from 1 species
UACGUAGGGACCGAGCGUUGUCCGGAAUCAUUGGGCGUAAAGAGCGUGUAGGCGGCCACUUAAGUCCUGCGUGAAAUCCUGCGGCUCAACCGCAGGCGGUCGUGGGAAACUGGGUGGCUAGAGUGCGGGAGAGGAGAGUGGAAUUCCUGGUGUAGCGGUGGAAUGCGCAGAUAUCAGGAAGAACACCAAUGGCGAAGGCAGCUCUCUGGGACGGUACUGACGCUGAGACGCGAAAGCGUGGGGAGCGAACAGG